rnacentral:rRNA from 1 species
GACGAACGCUGGCGGCGUGCUUAACACAUGCAAGUCGUACGGUAAGGCCCUUUCGGGGGUCCACGAGUGGCGAACGGGUGAGUAACACGUGAGUAACCUGCCCACAACUUUGGGAUAACGCUAGGAAACUGGUGCUAAUACUGGAUAUGUGCUCCUGCUGCAUGGUGGGGGUUGGAAAGCUCCGGCGGUUGUGGAUGGACUCGCGGCCUAUCAGCUUGUUGGGGGGGUAGUGGCCUACCAAGGCGGCGACGGGUAGCCGGCCUGAGAGGGUGAACGGCCACAGUGGGACUUGGAUACGGCCCAGACUCCUACGGGGGGCAGCAGUGGGGAAUAUUGCACAAUGGGCGCAAGCCUGAUGCAGCAACGCCGCGGGCGGGAGGACGGCCUUCGGGCUGUAAACCGCUUUCAGCAGGGACGAAGCUUUUUGUGACGGUACCUGCAGAAGAAGCACUGGCUAACUACGUG